GAACGCGAGGGCAGAAGCCUGAAAACGAAAUGGCAUCAUUUACAGGGUAACAAUGAGAUUAUAACCGGUAUACCGUGACGGAUAUGCCACGUAUGAAGUCGAAUGAAAAAUAUCAAAUUGUUCCCAUCGCUUACGUACGAAGAAGGGCCGAACAAACACAUCCGAGUACCUAUCGUAGAAUUGGCGCCAAAAAUACUUGAUCGAAAUAAAAGUCGAUUAAUUGGAUUAACGGUUCGAUUGCUUGAAUCGAAUAAUGAUGCAUGAAAUAGCCCUAAAUUACUUUUCACUUCGAGGGACGCAAACGUAUAGGAGGAAGAUUUAUGCACCACGUUUUUCUCGUGGAAAAUUAUAUACACGUUGCCUAGAACUUCGAUAACGCUUGACGGAAUAUACAAGGAUAUUAGCACUAUGAAACAAAAUUACGAAAAGUGGUACGGAACACGUGGUCAAGCAAAGGCCAAUUUAAAGGGCAAACUGGGGCCAGUUAUUCCAAAAGAAAGUUAUGGUGUAUGGAACACCAUAAAAAAUAAUUUUUGUUACAUUAAAUCAUGGUAAGUUAAAUGAAUAGGUGGUAAGGUUAGAAAAUGCGAUUCUAAUUGAAAAGUACUUGGACCAGAGUAUUAUAAUAACUAAAGGAUUUAUUUUUCAAUUUGUUAGGAAAAAUAAACGGAUUUAAACCGGAUGACGAGUUUCUUCGUUUCCUUUCGGAACGUUUACAUAUGUAAAUUUGAAUAACAAUGAUUUAUACCGGUAAUCAUAUCGAGAAUCGGGUUUAAUGAGCUCAAACGUCAGAAUGAGAAGUCUUAAUGAGGUCUUGUUUGAGAAGAUCUAAUAUCCAGAGAUAAUACUGUUGCGUAUUAUUCUAAUGCAGUGUUUCUCAACUAGCAUAAUUACCGACAGUUCUUUAUCAUUAUUUAAUUCUGUGUCAUUGCAUGCUGGCACGUAAUUUUUAUUCUAGACAUCGUUUACUAGUAGUGUAUAUCAAUAUUUCGACGAUCCCGUGCAUUAUGUCUUUAAAUUUAUGUCAUAACAAAUGAUUUAAAAAUUAAUAUUUGAUUCAUUUCAGGAGAACAUGCAUAUUUCAUUAUCCUCCUCGCCAUAUUCUCGUCAGGGGCCAUUUGUAUGAAUACCUUUUGAGUACUGCUAUUUUCUAGUAGUACGUAUCAAUAUUUCGACGAUCAACAAGAGAAGGAAGACAGUAGCAGCAAGAUACCAGUUGUCAAUAAUAACGAUAAGGAUAUCAGAUCGAGUAGACACGUGUUUGGGAGACACUGUUCCAAU